GAUGAACGCUAGCGGCAGGCUUAAUACAUGCAAGUCAAGGGGCCAGCAAUGGUACCGGCGGACGGGUGAGUAACGCGUACACAACGUACCUUUAACUGGGGGAUAGCAUCUGGAAACGGGUGGUAAUACCGCAUGUGGUUGCGGGGAGGCAUCUCCUUGUAACUAAAACUUUGGUGGUUAGAGAUCGGUGUGCGUCUGAUUAGCUAGUUGGUAGGGUAGAGGCCUACCAAGGCGACGAUCAGUAGGGGGCGUGAGAGCGUGAACCCCCCACACGGGUACUGAGACACGGACCCGACUCCUACGGGAGGCAGCAGUAAGGAAUAUUGGUCAAUGGAGGGAACUCUGAACCAGCCAUGCCGCGUGAAGGAAGAAGGCGCUACGCGUUGUAAACUUCUUUUGGGUGGGACGAAAAUAAUCCAUUUAUGGAUAGCUGACGGUACCAUCAGAAUAAGCACCGGCUAACUCCGUGCCAGCAGCCGCGGUAAU
rnacentral:rRNA from 1 species